rnacentral:rRNA from 1 species
CUAUUUAGCUAGAGUGUGGGAGAGGAAGAUGGAAUUAGUUGUGUAGGGGUAAAAUCCGUAGAGAUAACUAGGAAUACCAAAAGCGAAGGCAAUCUUCUGGAACAUUACUGACGCUGAGGCGCGAAAGCGUGGGGAGCAAACAGGAUUAGAUACCCUGGUAGUCCACGCCCUAAACGAUGAAUGUUAGUCGUCGGGUAGCUAGUCUAUUCGGUGAUGCAGCUAACGCAUUAAACAUUCCGCCUGGGGAGUACGGUCGCAAGAUUAAAACUCAAAGGAAUAGACGGGGACCCGCACAAGUGGUGGAGCAUGUGGUUUAAUUCGAAGAUACGCGAAGAACCUUACCUAGCCUUGACAUAUAUUAGAACUCACCAGAGAUGGAGAGGUGCCUUCGGGAGCUUUUAUACAGGUGCUGCACGGCUGUCGUCAGCUCGUGUCGUGAGAUGUUGGGUUAAGUCCCGCAACGAGCGCAACCCUCGUCACUAGUUACUAACGGUUCGGCCGAGGACUCUAGUGAGACUGCCUUCGUAAGGAGGAGGAAGGUGAGGACGACGUCAAGUCAUCAUGGCCCUUACGGCUA